CCCAGAAUGUUCCUCUUCUGUUCAAGGAGGGCAUAGGAACAGCCCAGAACUUCCCUUAUUUGCUUUUUUCACCUUUGCAGGGAGAAAAGGGUGACCGAGGAGAGAGGGUGAGUGGCUGUGCAUUUCCCUGACUCCUCUACCCUGCUGGGUGCAGGUCCCUCAGGGUGCUGGGGAGGACUGAGCCCUCAGGGCAACCACACAGGACCUGACCCUUCUCUCUGCAGGGCCCCCCUGGAUUUGUAGAUGGGGCAGUACCUCGAGGGGACCCUGGACCCCCGGGCCUGCCUGGGGACCCCGGGCCUCGGGGACCUGCUGGGCCCCCUGGCCUGAAGGGAGAGAAGGUAAGAAGGUGCUGCCCGCUGGGGCUGGACCUCACACCACUCUCCAGCAAGGAUUCCCAUCUAAUGGGCAUCCCCAUGUCAUGAGCAUAGCUGUCACCUUUCCAAUUCCCCAGGGUGAUGGCACAGAAGGUUUCCCAGGGCCACCUGGCCGCCCCGGGGACCCAGGAGAGAGGGUGAGUUUGCUGAGAGAAGGUAAGGCAGGCAGGAGCUGGCCAUGCCAGAGACCCAAACCCCGAGGGCACGCUUGAGCACCGGUGCUUUGAACAGCCUGGGCAUUUGCCUUGUCACACCCAGGGUGACAAUGUCUCUGUUCUCCUCUGCAGGGUCCUCGGGGACCACCAGGGGAGCAGGGCAGGAAGGUGAGCGGGGCAGGGACCCAAGGGAUGCUCCUGCCAUGCCUUUGGCAGAGAGAAGGGGGUUCUGGGUUCUGUGCCAGCACCCAGGAUGUCCCCCAGAGGUCCUGCUGCCCCUGACCCUUGGUUUCUCCUAUACCAGGGAGACCGUGGGGCACCGGGCGAGCUGGGAGAGACGGGCGAGAAGGGAGACCGCGGUGUGCCGGGCCCAGAGGGUGAGAAGGUAGGUGCAUGGCAUGGUGGAGUGAUGCCUACGCUGCCCUGGGCAGGAUGCCCACACACCUUCCUCUUCCUCCUCUCCUGCAGGGUGAGAUGGGAGCCCCAGGGCACCCAGGGCCAUCAGGCAGAGAGGUGAGCCAGGGUAGUGGGUGUGUGGAGCCAGGAGCUGCCGUGCCCUGGGUGCACAUUCCCAGGCACUGCCAGCUCCCUGAGGUCUCUGAUCUUGCCACAGGGAGCUCCAGGACCAACUGGCCCCCGAGGGGAGAAGGUGAGUUCAAAGUGGGGUCCCAGUGGGGUGGCAGGGGUCUGUUGGGGAAGGACCUGGCAGUGACACCUGUCUCUCUGCAGGGCGAUCCAGGACCACCUGGCAGGCCAGUAAGUGAUGCUGCCCACCUCUGCCUGCCCCAGCCCCAGGACAGGGAGCCACGGGCAGUGCCCAGCAUGGUCUCCUCUGCUUCUCCUCCAGGCUCCCAGCGUGGCUGGUGUUGGAGAGAAGGGUGACAGAGGUUUCCCAGGACCAGAAGGACCUCCCGGCCCCAAGGGUGAAGCAGGAGAUAGAGGUGCCAGUGUGAGUACUGCCUUGAGGAUAGGAAGCACAUGGCACAGCCCUCCCUAGACCCAUGGUGCCUGUGCUGCUGCUGCAUGCUAUGUCCUUUCACAUCUAGGGUCCCCCUGGCCUGAGCAUCCCAGGGCCAGCUGGCCCCAAAGGCGAGCAGGGCGAUCGGGUGAGUCUGGGGGCACCCUGGGGACACCAGCUCAUGGCCCUGCUCCCUCUCCUGCCAAGGGGUCACCGAGGUUCCCAGUGACACCUGCUCUUCCUCUCCAACAACCAGGGUAUCGCUGGCCUCCCAGGCAGGAGUGGCCCAAAGGUGAUGUCACUGCCCUUCCAUCCAUCCGUCCAUCCAUCCCUCUGGCUGGCUGGCUCUAGAGGGGCUGCUCCUGCAGGCUGUGCCCCUUCUCUGCCCAGCUGCCCAGACCCUGCCCUGACUGUUGCCCCUUCUCUUGCCUAGGGUGACCCAGGAGAGCCCGGGGAGAAGGGGGAGCCGGGCCGAGCAGGCAGCCCCGGGCAGAUGGGGCUGCGAGGCAAGGAGGUAGUGUGGUACAAGGGGCUGUGGGGCACCGCGGCCCUGAGGAGAGGCGGGGCUGGCAGGGAGCAGGGGGAUGCUGGUCACUUGUACUUUUCUCUCCUGGCCGGUGCCCACUGAUUUGUGCCUCAGGGAGAGCGAGGAGAGAAAGGUGACGAAGGCACCCCGGUAAGUGAGGGUCCCCAGGACCACUGCCCCCCUUCCCACUGCCUCUGAUCCCACUGCCCCCCACUCACCCCCUCCUUCCCCACAGGGUGAAGCGGGUCUGCCUGGCAAGCCUGGAGACAGGGGUCCCCGGGUAAGUGCAGGGCUGCUGGGCACCCCGGGGCAGGAGAGAGACUUGUGGCCUCGGGGUGGCUCCUGCUAAUGCACAUCUUCCCUUUGCCCUCCACCCAGGGCCUUCCUGGCUACCGUGGCCCCCCCGGGGAGAAGGGCGACUUGGGGGACCCAGGACCUGAAGGCAGGAAUGUAAGUAGCCCCUCGUAUGUGCCCAUGGACACCCACCACUCCAACACCUCAUUGCCCCACACCCACCCUUACCCCAGGGGUACCCCCCAUUCCACAGGACCCACACCCCACGGGUCCCCCAUUCCCUCCCCCUCUGACUCCAUCCCUCUUUCCUGCAGGGCAGCCCUGGAGCACCAGGGAGCAAGGGUGACCGUGGGGACCCAGUGAGUGAUGGCAGGGCCACAUGUGGCCCCCCACCCCAGAGCCAGCUGUGCCCUCCCCAGGGCUGUGCCAGCUCGCCUUAAUCUGCUUCCCUUGCCCUUCUUUCAGGGGCCUCCCGGACCCCCAGGACGAACUGUAAGUUCUGCCUCCCUUCUCCCUGCCCAUGGGCUGGUGUCCAGCCCCGUGUGCUCCAACAGCUCCUCUCUGCCCCACAGGUCGAUGUUGGGCUCGGAGGAGUGGGGGGAAAGGGUGAGAAGGUAAUGAAUAAUGAGUCCUUGGGAUGCUGGUGGUGGGAUACCCUCUGCUGCCCUCUGGGCUCUGCCUGGCUGCUGGCAUCAUUGUUGAUCAAGCCCUCUGUGCCCAAAACAGCCUCUGCUGUGUGCAGCUGGUGUGCACCACCACUGAGAGGCACAUGGGGAGCACAGGGGCUGACACUCAUACCCUG
rnacentral:lncRNA from 1 species